UACGGCCGUGUCACGUUGUAACUCCGGUUUUCGUACGAUCGCAGAAGUUAAGCAACCUCGAGCCUGGUCAGUACCUAGAUGGGUGACUGUUUCGGAAUA